rnacentral:tRNA from 1 species
GUAGGUAUAGCUCAGUCGGUUAGAGCAUCUGGUUGUGGUUCAGAGGGUCGUGGGUUCGAGCCCCAUUACUUACC